GAUGAACGCUGGCGGCGUGCCUAAUACAUGCAAGUCGAGCGAACAGACGAGGAGCUUGCUCCUCUCACGUUAGCGGCGGACGGGUGAGUAACACGUGGAUAACCUCCCUAUCUGACUGGGAUAACUUCGGGAAACCGGAGCUAAUACCGGAUAAUAUAUUGCACCGCAUGGUUCAAUAGUGAAAGACGGUUUUGUUGUCACUUCUAGAUGCUUCCCCGCCGCAUUAGCUAGUUGGUAAGUUAACGGCUUACCAAGGCGACGAUGCGUAGCCGACCUGAGAGAGUGGUCGGCCACAUGGGAAGUGAGACACGGUCCAGACUCCUAAGGGAGGCAGCAGUAGGGAAUCUUCCGCAAUGGGCGAAAGCCUGACGGAGCAAGGGCGCGUGAGUGAUGAAGGUCUUCGGAGCGGAAAACUCUGUUAUUAGGGAAGAACAAAUGUGGAAGUAACUAUGCACGGAUUGACGGUACCUGAUCAGAAAGCAACGGCUAACUACGUG
rnacentral:rRNA from 1 species